rnacentral:rRNA from 1 species
AGAGUUUGAUUCUGGCUCAGAUUGAACGCUGGCGGCAUGCUUUACACAUGCAAGUCGAACGGCAGCACGAGUGCUUGCACUUGGUGGCGAGUGGCGAACGGGUGAGUAAUGCAUCGGAACAUGUCCUAGAGUGGGGGAUAACGCAUUGAAAAAUGUGCUAAUACCGCAUAAUCUUCGAGAAGAAAAGCAGGGGAUCGCAAGACCUUGUGCUUUAGGAGUGGCCGAUGUCUGAUUAGCUAGUUGGUAAGGUAAAAGCUUACCAAGGCGACGAUCAGUAGCUGGUCUGAGAGGACGAUCAGCCACACUGGGACUGAGACACGGCCCAGACUCCUACGGGAGGCAGCAGUGGGGAAUUUUGGACAAUGGGCGAAAGCCUGAUCCAGCAAUGCCGCGUGAGUGAAGAAGGCCUUCGGGUUGUAAAGCUCUUUCAGUCGAGAAGAAAAAGCUAUAUUAAAUAAAUAUAGCUAAUGACGGUAUCGAAAGAAGAAGCACCGGCUAACUACGUGCCAGCAGCCGCGGUAAUACGUAGGGUGCGAGCGUUAAUCGGAAUUACUGGGCGUAAAGGGUGCGCAGGCGGUACUGUAAGUCAGAUGUGAAAUCCCCGGGCUUAACCUGGGAACUGUGUUUGAAACUACAGAACUAGAGUGUAGUAGAGGGAGGCGGAAUUCCAUGUGUAGCAGUGAAAUGCGUAGAGAUAUGGAAGAACAUCGAUGGCGAAGGCAGCCUCCUGGAUUAACACUGACGCUCAUGCACGAAAGCGUGGGGAGCAAACAGGAUUAGAUACCCUGGUAGUCCACGCCCUAAACGAUGUCAACUAGUUGUUAGGCUUUAAAAAGCUUAGUAACGUAGCUAACGCAUGAAGUUGACCGCCUGGGGAGUACGGUCGCAAGAUUAAAACUCAAAGGAAUUGACGG